AUGCGCUGUGACCCCCCCGGCCCCAUCCCUCCAUCGCACCGCCCCGACGAACAAAGGCACCGAACCCCGAAAGCCGCCGCACUGAAUCCCCCCCCCCCGGCCCCAACCUGCGGGGUCUCCCGCAGCGCCCCGCAAUUUCAUUAUUAUUAUUAUUAUUAUGUUGAAUUAUUCUUUCCGUCUCCGCUCCCCUCACCUCGGAGCGCUCCGACGGCCGCGGGUCGGGCCCGGCGGCGCGGUACAAAAAGUUGGGGCCGCUCCGCUCGGAGUUAUCGCUCCCGAACGAGGGAAUGGAUGCGCGAUAAGGGGGAGGGGUGGGCGGGGGAAACGGUGGGAGAGGACAGGGGGAAAAUGAAUAAUAUUAACAAAAUGACGGUAAUUAAAAUAAAGAAAAAACCCUCACAAAGCGACCGGCACAAAAACUGCGGCGGGCAACGGAACGAAGAGGGGAAGGCGAAGUCCCAACAAAGGAGCGCGGCGCGGAGCGGUGGGGGCUGCGGAGCGGAUCGGGCCGAAAGGGAGGGGGGGGAAGGGGGUCAGUCUCGAGUCCCGCUCCCAAAGCAAACCCCCCCCCCCCCCACCCCACACACACACACACCGCUUCGCUCCUCCGCUGCCGCGGGGGAAACGCCUGGGGGGGGGGGGGGGGGAGUUGGAAGCCCCCCACGGACCCCGCACACACAACCUCCCCCGCCGCACCACGAGCCCCCGACGCCACCCCCUCCAACCCGGACUCACCGACCCCGCUCCCUCCGCCUUUGUCCGAGCGCCGCACAAACUUCCGAGCGGCGCGGAGCGGGGCGUGGGGGGGGGGGCACGUGUUGGGGGUUGUGCCCGCAGAGCUGCGGGACGCACGGAGCCCCCCGAGCCCCCCACACCUGCCGCUCGCGAUGGGGCGGGGGGUCCCGCGUCGCCCCCUCGCUCCGUUCUCACCCACCUGAGCGCGCCGAGCGCGGCCCCGCGGCGGGCAUGCGGCCGCACCGCCUCCGCCUCCUCCUCCUCCUCCUCCUCCUUCUCUCCUUCUCUUCCUCCCCACCGCAAAAAAAACUUCGACGGGGCGGCCGCUCCGGGGCUGCCGAGCGGCUUUAG
rnacentral:lncRNA from 1 species